GUUUCACCCAAUUGUCACAAAGCAAGAAACACAAGCCCAGUGUGCGGCAGACAAGGCUCUGGACAAAGGGCUGUUUUCAUCGCCCCUCUCCCCAGCUCAGGGAUGGCUGCACAGCAAGCCAGGCCAGCCUGUGGGGCCUUUCUCUGCCUUUCAGGGGCCUGGGGAUGGAAUCCAAGUCCUUGCACAUGGCAGGCGAGUGACCCAUCACUGAGCUACACCGAGCUAGCUCCCUCUUCCUAAGACAAAUCCAGCCGUUGCUGCAGGAUGAUGGAGGCCUUGGUGCCCUGCAGGGUGGGGCUGUCGGAGAACAAAGAGCUAGAGGAACUUCAACCCACAUGGCCUGUGGCAGCCUCUGCACAAUGGAGAAUCAUAUUUGGAGGCCGAAGGAAGCAGGCCCAGCUGGAAAUGGAAGUGGUGGGAGGCCUUUCUCCACCUGGUUCCCACUCACCUGCUGGAAUAGACUAUCUUCUACCUCAGGGAAAGCCCUUGCCAGCAGGACGCCCCCAGGGGUGACUUGUGACCAGUGACUCUGAUGUCUGUGGUGCACAUUUGGAACAGCCCAGGAGGGCCGUGGGUUCCGGAUGGGCGCAGUGGUGUCCCUUGUCUCUAUCCCACUGCACAGUCCUGCCCUCCCAUCCCUGGCAACCAUGUCCCCCAGGAAGCAGACUCCACAUGGGAUUUCUUGCCAACAGAGGCAGGCGCUUUGGGCCCAUGACAAAUGGCAGGUGGAGCAGAGCGUUUGCCACCCUUCCAAGGAAUAUGAGCCAGGAGGUACUGUAUCAGAGGGAGACCCAGUUGUGUGUACAACUUCCUGGUGUGUGUAAGAGGUUAGAGGAGCCUGGAGCUGGGACUGCAGGCUGCUCUGAGCACGGCACAUAAGGUGAUGAAGAGAGAAGACUGAGUCCAUCAAAAUGUGACAAAUGCUCCUCUUUGGAGCAUUCAAGGAAAUCCCAAGUUCCCGCAUUUGAGGGAAGGGUGUUGGAGGACAGAAUGGGGAGUGGACUGUGCAAAGGACCAGGCUCAGAAGUUACUCACAGGAGUGGUGCAGCUCUUAGCCGGCCAGGGCUCUCGUGCAAGGUCAGAACAGAGAUGGGAAAGGGUAGAUGGAACAGGGAGGUGUUGGUGGGCAGACCCAGGAAGACUCUGGAAGUUCAGAUUCCUGUGAACAGGGGUUUCUGCGGAAGUGAGCACUCCCCGCUGAAAGGGAAGUGUGGCUGCCCUCCUCGUCCUGCGUGAGGCCCACACCAUGGCCUGGAGUGGGCAGGUCUCCAACAAGACAACACCUCCUACCUCUUCAAUGCAUCGGGGCAGCCAAACAGAUUGGAAGAGAGGGUCAGAUCUCUGUGCAGCCCCACUAGGAGGUGCUGGAUGUGCUACGGGAGGAA
rnacentral:lncRNA from 1 species